rnacentral:rRNA from 1 species
GUGCUUGCACUAAAUGAAACUAGAUACAAGCGAGCGGCGGACGGGUGAGUAACACGUGGGUAACCUGCGCCAAGAGACUGGGAUAACACCUGGAAACAGAUGCUAAUACCGGAUAACAACACUAGACGCAUGUCUAGAGUUUGAAAGAUGGUUCUGCUAUCACUCUUGGAUGGACCUGCGGUGCAUUAGCUAGUUGGUAAGGUAACGGCUUACCAAGGCAAUGAUGCAUAGCCGAGUUGAGAGACUGAUCGGCCACAUUGGGACUGAGACACGGCCCAAACUCCUACGGGAGGCAGCAGUAGGGAAUCUCCCACAAUGGACGAAAGUCUGAUGGAGCAACGCCGCGUGAGUGAAGAAGGGUUUCGGCUCGUAAAGCUCUGUUGGUAGUGAAGAAAGAUAGAGGUAGUAACUGGCCUUUAUUUGACGGUAAUUACUUAGAAAGUCACGGCUAACUACGUGCCAGCAGCCGCGGUAAUACGUAGGUGGCAAGCGUUGUCCGGAUUUAUUGGGCGUAAAGCGAGUGCAGGCGGUUCAAUAAGUCUGAUGUGAAAGCCUUCGGCUCAACCGGAGAAUUGCAUCAGAAACUGUUGAACUUGAGUGCAGAAGAGGAGAGUGGAACUCCAUGUGUAGCGGUGGAAUGCGUA